UGAACUUAAGCAUAUCAAUAAGCGGAGGAAAAGAAACCAACAGGGAUUGCCCCAGUAACGGCGAGUGAAGCGGCAACAGCUCAAAUUUGAAAUCUGGCUUCGGCCCGAGUUGUAAUUUGUAGAGGAAGCUUUUGGCAAGGCACCGACUGAGUCCCCUGGAACGGGGCGCCAUAGAGGGUGAGAGCCCCGUAUAGUCGGACGCUGAGCCUCUGUAAAGCUCCUUCGACGAGUCGAGUAGUUUGGGAAUGCUGCUCAAAAUGGGAGGUAAAUUUCUUCUAAAGCUAAAUAUUGGCCAGAGACCGAUAGCGCACAAGUAGAGUGAUCGAAAGAUGAAAAGCACUUUGAAAAGAGGGUUAAAUAGCACGUGAAAUUGUUGAAAGGGAAGCGCUUGUGACCAGACUUGCGCCUGGCCGAUCAUCCGGGGUUCUCCCCGGUGCACUCGGCCAGGCUCAGGCCAGCAUCGGUUCUCUUGGGGGGACAAAGGUCCCGGGAACGUAGCUCUCUACGGGGAGUGUUAUAGCCCGGGGCGUAAUGCCCUCGAGGGGACCGAGGACCGCGCUUCGGCAAGGAUGCUGGCGUUACGGUCAUCAGCGACCCGUCUUGAAACACGGACCAAGGAGUCAAGGUUUUGCGCGAGUGUUUGGGUGUAAAACCCGCACGCGUAAUGAAAGUAAACGUAGGUGAGAGCUUCGGCGCAUCAUCGACCGGCCCAGAUGUUCUCGGAAGGGCCUGAGUAGGAGCGUUAAGCCUUGGACCCGAAAGAUGGUGAACUAUGCUUGGAUAGGGUGAAGCCAGAGGAAACUCUGGUGGAGGCUCGCAGCGGUUCUGACGUGCAAAUCGAUCGUCAAAUCUGAGCAUGGGGGCGAAAGACUAAUCGAACCAUCUAGUAGCUGGUUACCGCCGAAGUUUCCCUCAGGAUAGCAGUGUUGUUCUUCAGUUUUAUGAGGUAAAGCGAAUGAUUAGGGACUCGGGGGCGCUUUUUAGCCUUCAUCCAUUCUCAAACUUUAAAUAUGUAAGAAGCCCUUGUUACUUAAUUGAACGUGGGCAUUCGAAUGUACCAACACUAGUGGGCCAUUUUUGGUAAGCAGAACUGGCG
rnacentral:rRNA from 2 species